rnacentral:lncRNA from 1 species
AAGUGUUUGAUUAAUUAAAAAACAGUUUAAGUGCAAAGAAAGACAUCGCCGUUUAUGUACGGUGAGGUCAAUGGAGAGAUACAAAUUGAACUAUGUUUAUUAGGGUGGGUUGUGAUUGCGCGCAGCGGUCAAAUACCUCCUGAGGUUCUCUCACUCUAAUACCCGCAAGUUAGGUUUGGACCGAAGGGUUAGGUCUUCCUCCUUUCUGACCGCUGCGCGCAAUUGCAGUCUGCCCGUUUAUUAAUUGUAAACUGCCAUUUAUUAUGUAAACUGCCAUUACCAUUUGUCAGCUGCCAAUGUCAACAAAAAAAGAAGAAAAUGUCAGUGUCAGCUGUCAAUGUCAAAAAAAAAGAAAAAAAUGUCACUGUCAGCUGUCAAUGUUAACAAAAAAGAAAAAAUUGUCAACAUUACCAUUUGUCAGCUGUCAAUGUCAACAAAAACGAAGAAACUGCCAUUACCAUUUAUCAGCUGUCAGUGUCAACAAAAAAAGAAGAAAAUUUCACUGUCAGCUGUCAAUUUCAACAAAAAAAAA